rnacentral:rRNA from 1 species
GCAAGUCGAGCGAGGACUUCGGUCCUAGCGGCGGACGGGUGAGUAACGCGUGGGAACGUGCCCUUUGCUUCGGAAUAGCCCUGGGAAACUGGGAGUAAUACCGAAUGUGCCCUUCGGGGGAAAGAUUUAUCGGCAAAGGAUCGGCCCGCGUUGGAUUAGGUAGUUGGUGGGGUAACGGCCUACCAAGCCGACGAUCCAUAGCUGGUUUGAGAGGAUGAUC